rnacentral:rRNA from 1 species
UACAGAGGGUGCGAGCGUUAAUCGGAAUUACUGGGCGUAAAGCGCGCGUAGGCGGCUUUUCAAGUCGAUUGUGAAAUCCCCGGGCUUAACCUGGGAACUGCAGUCGAGACUGUCUAGCUAGAGUAUGGGAGAGGGAAGUGGAAUUUCAGGUGUAGCGGUGAAAUGCGUAGAUAUCUGGAGGAACACCGGUGGCGAAGGCGGCAUCCUGGACCGGUAUUGACACUGAGGCGCGAAAGCCAGGGGAGCAAACGGG